UACGGAGGUGGCAAGCGUUGCUCGGAAUCACUGGGCGUAAAGGGCGCGUAGGCGGGGAGGUAAGUCGGGUGUGAAAUCCCUCGGCCCAACCGAGGAACUGCGCCCGAGACUGCUUCUCUUGAGUCCCGGAGAGGAAGAUGGAAUUCCCGGUGUAGCGGUGAAAUGUGUAGAGAUCGGGAGGAACACCGGUGGCGAAGGCGGUCUUCUGGACGGUGACUGACGCUGAGGCGCGAAAGCGUGGGGAGCGAACCGG
rnacentral:rRNA from 1 species